ensembl:lncRNA
AUGCUCAGGAAUGUUGCAGGUGUAAAAAGAAAUCGACAGACGAAUGUGGCUCUGCAGCCCCAGCUGUGCCCACAGUGCUGCCUCUGCGUGGGGAGGUGCUGGGCUGAGCAGCAGAGGCUUUGUGCAAAGCCAGCCCUGUGUAAAGCAGGAGUAGCUGCAGUGUGGUGUGAGCCUGGACCUGCCUGGGUGAGUAAUGAACUUAGGGGAGGUUUGAGCAGCUCCUGGGCUGUGAAGCUGAGCAUCAAGAGCAUUUUUAGGUUUAGGGGCUGUUACAAGGGGAGGAUGUUUGCCUUUACAUAUUAUUUGCAACCCACUGCACCCAAAACACCAACUGGUUGCUCUCGGAGUGUGAAGCAAUCACUGAAUGAAUUGGAUUAUUUUUUUUUAGCUUAGAUUAUUUUUUUCUCCUCAUUUAGACAGAAGAAACCAGUGCAGCUUUGACCAUGCAUGUUACAUUUUAAUUUUUUUUUUCUCAUGCCAAGAAAUACAAAGAAAGUAUAUAAGAUAUACCAUACCAUCCUGCAGAAAAAGAAACAUUUGUCAGCAAAGAGAAGCACCCAGCUGCAAUUCCUGGUGUGUUCAUGCUGUGUGUGAGCUGUGGCUCUCCCAGUGGGGGGAUGGACCCUGCAAUUCCGUGCCAAGGACCAAACCCUGGCACCUUCCAAGGGCUCCCAGGUGGUGCCAGGGCUGCCUUGGUGAGUCCUGCACACGUUCCCUUUCUGAUGUUUCUUAUCCUGGAUGGGUGUUUAUAGCUCGGGAUUUUUUGCUACCUACUGGUGUCAGCAAUUGCUUUACAAAUAUUCCCACUUUGAAAAGGCUGCUAUCCCCCCACACUCCCUGGGACUGGGCCCAAGCAGGGGAGUUCUUCUGUCCAAACCUAACUGGUUUUUUGCCAAAAAUUAAAGGCUGUGUACUGAAAGGAGAACGAGCUUAAAUCGGAAUAAUUUCAUUUAGAAGGGCAACCCUGGCUGUGGUAACAAAGCAGGGCAAGGGUGGGUGCAGCCUCUCCCUGGGCUUGGAGGGAACAGAAAUUGAGAUUCCAUUUUAUAGAACAGGCAGGAUCUGCUCCCCUUGUCUGCAUGGAGAAAUCUGUGUGGGCUGGAGUGGGUCAGAGCUCCCUGAGCCCAGAGAUGAACCCAGAGAUGGGAUCCCAGUGCAGCAGGACCUGUCCCAGUGACAGCAGGGGCAGAGGGGGCAGGAAGGGCUGAGGGGCUCAGGAGAGCUCUGGGAUGGGGAUGCUGAGGGGACCGGGUGAUAAAACCAUGAGGGGAAACUGGAACAGGGUGAAACAGCUGCCAGAAAAAGCAAAUCCAUCCUUAACAGCAAAUUUGGGGGUGGGAUGCUGAGGGGACAGUGUGAUAAAACCAGCAAAGAGCAGGAAACUGGAACAGGGUGAAAUGCCAGCCAGAAAAAGCAAAUCCAUCCAACUUUGAAGUCCUUUGGUGGCUUUGUUUCCCCUGCUGGGGCUCAGAUCCCUUUGGUGCUGCUGUGACCCCACUGGCUGGGGCCAGACCUUCCCUGACCCUGGGUCACUGGGGCUGCUACAAAACCAAGAAAAGUUUAUUGCUGGUUCAGCUUAAAGCUUCAACCCAGCCUUGAUGCUGCCAGGAGCCCUUCUGUGGCACCCCAUGAGCCCAGCUCUGCCCCAAAUCCUGGCACAGAAACCCAGGGACAGCAGUGCCAGGGAGGUGCCAGCAGCCCCAGCUCCAUUUUUUCCAAUCCUUCCCCUGGAUUUCCAUUUUUCCCAAUCCUUCCCCUGGAUCUCCAUUUUUUCCAGUCCUUCCCCUGGAUCUCCAUUUUUUCCAACCCUUCCCCUGGAUUUCCAUCCCACCAGGAGCUGACACUCGCUGGUGGCUCCCACUCCAGCUCACAUUUAGAGACAUUUCCCUCCUUCUCCAUCCCCUCAGAGCUCUCCUCCUACCAGCUGAGCUGCCCUGGGCUGGGUUGUCACCCUGCUCUCACCUUUCCUUCACCAGGGGGGAGGAUUUGGCCAGGAUUUUGUGCCUGUUUCAGCUGUAACCCUGCUCAGGUGAGUGCUGAGGGCUGGGGGCUCUGCAGGCUCCUCCUUCACGAAAAUGAGCAAAUUCCACCCAAAAAGAGCCAAAGAGGGAGCUGGGCUGGGAUAAAACCGUGGAGAUAGGGAGAGCAAAGUGGCAAAACUUUGCAAAACAGGCUGCAAAAUGUGUUUAGAAUGUGAUGGGGGAGCAGGGAAAGGGACUUUGGGGUGUUCUGGAGAGUUUGUUCCUCCAGCACUGCAGAGGCAGGUUACAAGCAGAGUAAAUAUUUUGUCAGGGGGCUUUCCUCUGGAUUUAAAUGCAGGAUAAGAAGAAGGGAAAAAAAAGCUGAGUUCAAGGGUGUAGUACAAUUGUAUCUAUUCAGGAAGAUUUUAGAAUGAAAGGGAUUUAAGUGUCAUAGUUCUUCUCUUUUGUUAGACUUGACAGUGAGGUGAGAAGCAUCACCUGAGCUGUCCAACGGGACAGGAGGCACAAGCAAAUCAUCACCCUGGGGUUUUUGGGGAAAUCUUCUGCCUCCUCCUGCAUCCAGGGGAAUCCUGGUGCCUCCAGUGCUCUGUGCUGCCCUGGCCUGGGAUUGUCCUGGCAAGGAGCAGCUGCCUCCCAAACCCCUGCAGGGAUCCCAUUUGGAACCACAUUUGUUUGGAUCCCACUGAAAAAAAAAAAAAACAGAUUCCAAGGAAAUCUGUGCUCAGAGAUGGUUCUGCUAAGGAGGAGGAUGAAAAGAGAAGAAAAUGGGGUUGGUUUGGGAGCAGCUCAGAGCCUGAGCUUCUGCCAUCCCUGCAAUUAGAGCAGUAAUGUGAACCCCCCUUGUGGGGGGUGCCAGGGUUUGAUCCUUUGGAUGCAGGGAAGCACUUUAGAUGAAAGGCUUUAUAAAAUGAUAAAAGAGCAUUUAAAUCCUUACUUAAUAAACGCUCAGUGCUCUCAAGUCCUAGAACUGCC